GCUCUUCUGUGCCUGUUCUCUCUUGGCAGAGAGAGAUGGCAGAAGGCUGGCUGCCUGAGCUACCACCGAUGCUGCCCACAGCGACUCUGGUGAUCUCUCUCAUUCUCUUUUAGCCAGUGAGAACAAGAGUGGUUGAACUCCUGCUGCCUGGUCGUGUGUGUGUGUGUGUGUGUGUGUGUGUGUGUGUCUGUGUCUGUGUGCAUCUGUGCAUGUGUGUCUGUGCAUGUGUCUGUGUGUGUAUGUCUGUGUGUGCGUGUUUAUCUGUGUAUGUAUGUAUGUGUCUGUGUUGUGUAUGUAUAUAUCUGUGUGUGUGUGCAUGUGUGUCUGUGUGUGCAUGUGUGUGAAUGUAUGUGUGUGCUUGUCUGUGUACGUGUGUGUGUGUGUGUGCAUGUGUGUCUGUGUGUGUAUCUAUGUCGCAUAAGUAGGUGCUCUGGCUUUCCGGGUACUGUGGCAUUUCUCCUCAGAACUCUGGACAUGUGGGUCAAUGCCUGCCGAGCCUCCAGCACCCUCCUCCUCAUCUGUGCUCCUCCCUUUUGUGGGGCUACCCACUCCUCUAGACUCCUGUCACUGUCCCAUCCUUCUCUGUCCAUUUUUGUUCAUCAGUUCCGGGACCCACGCCCAUCAUCCCAGCUGCCUUGGAUGAAACGUGGCCUGAGCUCAGUGAGAAUGACUGAGGAGCCAAUGCAUCACGAGCAGAGCUUUGUAGAUCCUGUUGGCCUUGGACGCUCUGUCUACCUGCUACCGAUACUGGAAAGAGUUCCGCUCUUAGCGUCCACUGUGAAGAAGAGAGGCCACCCUCCCAGGUGCUGUGAGCUUGCAGCUCAUGUUUUCCUGGACGGCCUUGUUCUACACUUUCAAAGAAUGGCAACAGCAUGCUCUCCUCUCGUGAACUUGCGGGGGGCAGAGGGGAGGUGGGGGAACUACACCUGGUAAGCCGAAUGCUUGCUUCAUUUUGAAUGCUUGCUUCAUUUUCGUUUGUCUGAAACGUGACCCAAACCCCUGAGGCCAGCUGUUGCUCAGUGUGGCAGUCUGAGAUCAGUGAGUUCUUGUGACACUUAAUAACUCCCAAGAAGCACAGCUGGGAGAGCCAGAAGGCACAGUGAAGACACCGAUUCUUUGGCUGGACUAUGUGAACUGAGAGAAGCCCACGCAGUUCAUCUAAACCUACACCAUAGCUUCUGAAGACGCUGUUCACCAGCCCAGACACAAGUGUCAUCCCGUAUUCAUCUUUGUGUGCUGGAGGAAACAGAGAGAGCGGGAGGGCGGAGAGAACACAGAGCUCUCUGUUGCGCCCCACACUGUGCCAUGGGGACUUCUUUCUUGUCUGGG
rnacentral:lncRNA from 1 species